AUGAACGCUGGCGGCGUGCCUAAUACAUGCAAGUCGAGCGAACGGACGAGAAGCUUGCUUCUCUGAUGUUAGCGGCGGACGGUUAGUAACACGUGGAUAACCUACCUAUAAGACUGGGAUAACUUCGGGAAACCGGAGCUAAUACCGGAUAAUAUUUUGAACCGCAUGGUUCAAAAGUGAAAGACGGUCUUGCUGUCACUUAUAGAUGGAUCCGCGCUGCAUUAGCUAGUUGGUAAGGUAACGGCUUACCAAGGCAACGAUGCAUAGCCGACCUGAGAGGGUGAUCGGCCACACUGGAACUGAGACACGGUCCAGACUCCUACGGGAGGCAGCAGUAGGGAAUCUUCCGCAAUGGGCGAAAGCCUGACGGAGCAACGCCGCGUGAGUGAUGAAGGUCUUCGGAUCGUAAAACUCUGUUAUUAGGGAAGAACAUAUGUGUAAGUAACUGUGCACAUCUUGACGGUACCUAAUCAGAAAGCCACGGCUAACUACGUG
rnacentral:rRNA from 1 species